CCUGUGACUGAAGAAGAGAUUUC
rnacentral:piRNA from 1 species